rnacentral:rRNA from 1 species
AUACGUAGGGGACAAGCGUUGUCCGGAAUGACUGGGCGUAAAGGGCGCGUAGGCGGUCUAAUAAGUCUGAUGUGAAAGGUACCGGCUCAACCGGUGAAGUGCAUUGGAAACUGGUAGACUUGAGUAUUGGAGAGGCAAGUGGAAUUCCUAGUGUAGCGGUGAAAUGCGUAGAUAUUAGGAGGAACACCAGUGGCGAAGGCGGCUUGCUGGACAAAUACUGACGCUGAGGUGCGAAAGCGUGGGGAGCGAACAGGAUUAGAUACCCUGGUAGUCCACGCCGUAAACGAUGAAUGCUAGGUGUUGGGGAAACUCAGUGCCGCAGUUAACACAAUAAGCAUUCCGCCUGGGGAGUACGACCGCAAGGUUGAAACUCAAAUGAAUUGACGGGG